rnacentral:rRNA from 1 species
AGGCUUAACACAUGCAAGUCGAGCGCCCCGCAAGGGGAGCGGCAGACGGGUGAGUAACGCGUGGGAACGUACCCUUUACUACGGAAUAACGCAGGGAAACUUGUGCUAAUACCGUAUGUGCCCUUCGGGGGAAAGAUUUAUCGGUAAAGGAUCGGCCCGCGUUGGAUUAGCUAGUUGGUGGGGUAAAGGCCUACCAAGGCGACGAUCCAUAGCUGGUCUGAGAGGAUGAUCAGCCACAUUGGGACUGAGACACGGCCCAAACUCCUACGGGAGGCAGCAGUGGGGAAUAUUGGACAAUGGGCGCAAGCCUGAUCCAGCCAUGCCGCGUGAGUGAUGAAGGCCCUAGGGUUGUAAAGCUCUUUCACCGGAGAAGAUAAUGACGGUAUCCGGAGAAGAAACCCCGGCUAACUUCGUGCCAGCAGCCGCGGUAAUACGAAGGGGGCUAGCGUUGUUCGGAAUUACUGGGCGUAAAGCGCACGUAGGCGGAUCGAUCAGUCAGGGGUGAAAUCCCAGGGCU